rnacentral:rRNA from 1 species
CCACGGGUGAGUAACACGUAUCCAACCUGCCGUCUACUCUUGGCCAGCCUUCUGAAGGAAGAUUAAUCCAGGAUGGCAUCAUGAGUUCACAUGUCCGCAUGAUUAAAGGUAUUUUCCGGUAGACGAUGGGGAUGCGUUCCAUUAGAUAGUAGGCGGGGUAACGGCCCACCUAGUCAACGAUGGAUAGGAGUUCUGAGAGGAAGGUCCCCCACAUUGGAACUGAGACACGGUCCAA